GAUGAACGCUGGCGGCGUGCCUAAUACAUGCAAGUCUAGCGAACAUACGAGGAGCUUGCUCCUCUGACGUUAGCGGCGGACGGGUGAGUAACACGUGGAUAACCUACCUAUAAGACUGGGAUAACUUCGGGAAACCGGAGCUAAUACCGGAUAAUAUAUUGAACCGCAUGGUUCAAUAGUGAAAGACGGUUUUGCUGUCACUUAUAGAUGGAUCCGCGCCGCAUUAGCUAGUUGGUAAGGUAACGGCUUACCAAGGCAACGAUGCGUAGCCGACCUGAGAGGGUGAGCGGCCACACUGGAACUGAGACACGGUCAAGACUCCUACGGGAGGCAGCAGUAGGGAAUCUUCCGCAAUGGGCGAAAGCCUGACGGAGCAACGCCGCGUGAGUGAUGAAGGUCUUCGGAUCGUAAAACUCUGUUAUUAGGGAAGAACAAAUGUGUAAGUAACUAUGCACGUCUUGACGGUACCUAAUCAGAAAGCCACGGCUAACUACGUG
rnacentral:rRNA from 1 species